UACGUAGGGUGCAAGCGUUAAUCGGAAUUACUGGGCGUAAAGCGUGCGCAGGCGGUUGUGCAAGACAGAUGUGAAAUCCCCGGGCUUAACCUCGGGAACUGCAUUUGUGACUGCACAGCUGGAGUGCGGCAGAGGGGGAUGGGAAUUCCGCGUGUAGCAGUGAAAUGCGUAGAUAUGCGGAGGAACACCGAUGGCGAAGGCAAUCCCCUGGGCCUGCACUGACGCUCAUGCACGAAAGCGUGGGGAGCAACAGG
rnacentral:rRNA from 1 species